GUUAUCUUUUGUUCUGCACAAAAUUGGAGGACAAUAUUAUCAAAAUAAUUUCAUAUUUUUCUGUUACUAUUUCCAUUUUUAUUGUUUCCUGAAUGUUUUAGUAUCUCAACUUUUUCUAAAAAGCCAUUAAAUGGCACUACUGUUAAAAAAAAAGUUGGGGUCGGUAAGAUUUUUUAAUGUUUUCUCUUAUUUGCUAAAAAAAUUGGCAAAAACAGUAAUAUUGUGAAAUAUAUUUACAAUUAAUAUAUUUUAAAAUACAAUUUAUUCCUGUGAUGGCAAAGCUGAAGUCAUUACUUCAGUCUUCAGUGUCACAUGAUCCUUCAGAAAUCAUUCUAAUAUGCUGAAUUGCUGCUCAAGAAUUUUUUUAUAUAUAUUAUUAUUAAUCACUGUUGAAAACAGUUGUGCUGCUUGAUAUUUUUUGGAUACCAUGAUACUUUUUUUUCCAGGAUUCUUUGAUGAAUAGAGAGUUUAAAAGAACAGCAUUUAUUUGAAAUUGUAACAAUGUAAAACUCUUCACUGUCACUUUUGAUCAAUUUAAUGCAUCCUUGCUAAAUAAAAGUAUUAAUUUCUUUAAAAAAAAAAAAUAAAAAAAAUCUUACUGACCCCAAUCUUAAUGGUAACAAUAAAAGUGAAUGUAGUGAAUGCUAUGGACAAUGUCCUUUUCAUUUUAGAUUAAGUAUUCUUCUCAAAAUCAUUGUAUAGGUUCCAUCAUGACUGCUAUGGGGCAUGUUGUCACAAAGAUUGUGUUAAUUUAACUAUAUUGAAAUUGGUUUUUUCGCUAGGCAUGAUCAAUAGCCUGUGUAGUCUAAACUUAAAGGUACGUAUAUAUACAAAAAAUUAAUAAUAAUAAAAACCCUACCCUGAGUACAUACAUUUUUGCUUUCAGAAGCUGUGUAACAACAACAGGCAUAAAGUAACAUUAGAGAUGGCAGAGAGAUGAAUAAUAUCAUAUCAUGUGACUCAUAGAGGAUCAGAUCUGUCUGGAUCACUGGCUCAAACACACAAGCUCUUCUUCUGCCUGUCAGUCAGUCAGUCAGAGACUCUGAGAGAGUUUGUGCAGCAUCAGCCUCUGGGAGAAAGCCACAACAGCUAAAAUAAGACAUGGAUCCCAUAUUGAUCGGCAUAGUGACUGCCAACACAAGUUUAACUGUUGUCUACUGGAACUUUCUUCUGUCUCAGGUGUUCUGCAAGAAGAUCAAGGAUGCACCCAAACUUGAGGAAAUUACGGUCUAAAUCAAGGACUUGGUUAUGACCCCGACAAUGAAGAAGAAGAGGAAGAAGAAUUAAAAUCUGCCGGAGGGAAAGAAGGAAGGAGGGAUGAGGAAGACAAAAUAAGAACAAAGGAGGAACCGACUCAGAAGUGGACGGACUGGAUUUCUACCAGGAUUUAAAUUCUCUGUAUUUGACAAUUCAUGAGGUUAAAAAGGUGUUACUGAAUUCAUUUAUGAACAACCCUCUCUCUCUUUCUUUCUUUCUUUCUUUCUUUUAUCCAUUAGUCCAUCUCUGCAAGCCGUAAAUCUCUUGUAUAACCUCCCUAGUCUCUAAAAUCUUUCUUUGUAAGUGCUGCUCAUUUCCAUCUGUUGUAAUUUACCAAAAAAUACAAAGCUUAUUAUGAGCUUUAAAGUCUGUAGAAAAAAAUCGUUUUUAUUAAUAUUUUUUUUCUAGAUUUAGCAAAAUAGAUGCACAGAUAUUGUCAAUAUCUGUCUUACUCUUUUGCAUGUAUCUUAUUCCUGCAAUAAAUGAUUACAAUAUA